rnacentral:rRNA from 1 species
UACAGAGGUCCCAAGCGUUGUUCGGAUUCACUGGGCUUAAAGGGUGCGUAGGCGGCGCGGAAAGUUGGGUGUGAAAGCCCUCGGCUCAACCGAGGAAUUGCGCCCAAAACUUCCGUGCUUGAGGAAGAUAGAGGUGAGCGGAACUCAGGGUGGAGCGGUGAAAUGCGUUGAUAUCCUGAGGAACACCGGUGGCGAAAGCGGCUCACUGGAUCUUUUCUGACGCUGAGGCACGAAAGCUAGGGUAGCGAACGGG